ACUUAAUUCUUAGCUUCCACAAGGUGGCUCAAAACCAUAGUAACUCCAACCCCAGGGGAUUGACACCCCUACUGGUCUCUUCCAGGUACUGCAUGUAGAUGGUGUACAGACAUAUACACAGGCAAAACAUCUAUACAUGUUAAAUGAGUGAAUAAAUAAAUAAAAUUUUAAAACAAAGCAACAAAACAAACAAACAACAAGAACACUGCAUAACCCAGAUAGACAGCAAGUAACUAAAACUAAUGGCUUUUCUCUCUUUCUCCCCCUUCCCAAGAACAAGAGAGAAGGCUGGGGUUGCAGGACUAACAGUUCUGCCCAGGGAACUCUAUACAAGGGCCUUGAAACCUUAAAGGCAGCAGAAACUGAGACAUCCACAUUGGGCUCACCUGUGACAGGGUAUUGGCAGUCCCCAGGGAGCACGUGGGCCCCUUAUGUGGCAGAGUGGCACAAGGCACAUUAUUCCUAGCCUGCAUCCAAUGUCAGUCACGUUGCCUGGUACCCCACCCUGUUCCCGAAAACCAAAGGCGCCCCUUCCAGAGAAAAAAGAAGACAGCCUCUUCAUUAAUAGCGCUGGCGGCAAGCCAUCCCUUUAUCUGGCUUUCAUUAGAGCCUGGGCCGCGCCUCUUUUGUGGGAGAGACUUGAGGGAGCCGAGGCAGUUUCCCGCCGCUGUGAUGUUGCUAAAGAUUAAAAAGGAGCUUUGAAGCUGCACCAGCGCUGCCUGCGCCCCCUCGGAACAGGACCUCAGAAAGACCCGCGCCAUCUGGCAAACCUGACAUAAAGACAAAAUAAAGUGAUUGAAACAGUCUCUUCAAAGCCACAAUGGCAGAUUUGUUGAUUUGGGCGUUAUCUUUCAUGCGAGGCCCUCAGAAGUCACCAGAACACCUAGAUAACCUCAGGCAGGCCUGACUGGAGUGGAUAGAGCCUUCCAGGCUGAAGCUUGCCGAGAGAGAGGACUGGCUGGAACUGGUGGGGGCUGAGAGACGGACUGAUGGCCACCGGAGGUGGCUUUGGGUCACUCAACAAUUGAAUGUAGAGGGUUCAAUCACUGGGACUCUGCCUCACCUGUGUGUUCCCGUGUUCCCUCAGGAAGAGCACCGGAUGCUGGUGGAAGUAGAGCCCCCGUGGGAAGCUGAUACGGGGAUGCAUGUGGAGAGGGCAAGAGAUGGAAAGGCCUUACCCUGGUUGCAGCUGACAGCCUGUUAGUGGUGCCAUGACACUGUUGUCAGUGACAAUCCUGGCUGGGCAGGUGCUUCCAGGCUAGGUCCCACCAGACAAUCUCAGCCAACUGAGCCCAGCAAGUUACUACUGACCUCUAAUAACACCCACCAUGGCUGGAAUUUGGCUCACUGUGUGCGUGAGCCUGGGCUCCUUCAUUGGAGAAACUGCUGUCAUGAUCGGACCCUUACAUUCUGUUAGGUGGCAGUGUUGAGCCUACAGCUCCCAGUCUUGAACCAAGAAUGUUCUGUUGAGCUAAUGGGGUGGCUUAUACCUGUGAGCCCAGUGCUUCAGGGGUGGAGUUAGAAGAAUCAAUGGUUCAAGGUCCCUCCCAACUACACAGCAAUCUUGGACUACAAAAGACCGGCUCUCAAAAAAAAAAACAAAAAACAAAAAACAAAAAACAACAACAACAACAAAAAGCAAAUGAACAAACUGCCUUGGACAGCAGUCUGGAGAGGGCAACACAAACACCAACUGAAUAGACUGAGCUUCAGCCCAAGGGCUUAGGGUGACACCCCACAUCCCCACCACCCAUGCAACUUCUCCUAGUAAGAAGAUGCACGGGCUGGAAUGGGAAGAAAAGAAUGGUAAGGGGGCUCAGCAAGCACUAUUAAGGGGCUCAAGUGGAGUGUGGGGAGCAGAACAGCUGGCCCUCCAUUCCCGCCACCUGACCACCGUGACUAGUUCAGCUUCGUCUCCACACAAGGCACCCAAUUCAACCCCUGCCUUUAUUUUAAGGCCUUGCUAACCAAACGCGUGCACAACUUAGAAGGUAGGAUGGCUGGAGGCCUCCAACCCUUCCUCCUAAUCCCCUUAAACCCGGGGUUCCAAUCGGGCUGACGAACCGGAUAAGAAAUGAAUUGCAGUCUGCCGCGUUUCGGCAAAAUUGCCAAUUCGUGAAAUUUGACCACUGCUCCACCUCCAAGGAUCUACUGAAGCCCUACUGUGCACAUCCACACAAACAAAAGUGAUGCCAAGCUGUCCUCAAAUUCCAGGCACAGAAAAGACACCCAGAGUUCAUCAGCGGGAGGCGUGACAAGCCACUUCUGCUUUCAGGGCAGGGGCAAGGGUCCUAUCACACACAUGGGCCCUCCAGACAACUUGCCUGCCCCGGACAAAUGUACUGCCAGUAUCAGCCCUCCCCACUGCCUUGUCUAUUUCAGAGGAAGCGCUCAUCCCAGGUGGCCCACACCACCCUUCCUUCCUCUCAGAACACAGCUGGCUUGGCAUGGGGUGUCGGGAGGGGCUCACAACAGAUUUCCUGGCCUGAGAUUAGGGUUCUAUCUGUUUCCUCCCAGAGUGAGAGGAGAGUCUUCUCCCCUGAGGGGGCUGCAGGGCUGAGUGCACAGGCAGAGGCGGCUCCCAGCCCACCAGUUCCUGCGGGGAACCUUCCAACUCUGUCAUUCACCCUCCUUUACUGGUUUCCACACCUUCAUUGUCUGAUAGACUUCUAGUCAUCCUUUAAAACCCAUCACUGAUGAUUCUCCUCUGAAGCCCUUCUGAACCUCCGUUGCCCGUGGCUCACAUGUCACAUCUCCAUCUCUCUUGGGUGCCUCUGAAAUAAAGACUAUAAUAUCUUGUUCAGAAAAAGUAUGCAUGCCUGAAGUCAUAAAGGCUUAGACCAGAUGCCAGCUUCCCUAUCCAUCAGCUGUGACAUUUGGGCAGGUCACUUUGCCCCUCUGAUCCUCAUUUGUGAGUGGAAAAAAAAAUGUAUCCUCCCGGCUUGUUUUGGAGAUUCAGUAAGGUAAUGUGGGUCAGGGGGAUGACACAGUGGGCAAAGACCUCGCAGAGGACCUGGGAUCAGUUCCCACCAACUCACAUUGUGGCUUAUAACUGCCUAUCAACUCUGGUUACAGAAGAUUGAAUGCCCUUUUCUUCAGCAGGCUUCAGUAGGCACUGGGUACCCAGAUAUACAUGUAGAUAAAACAUUCAUACAUGUCAAUAAAAUAAAGUAGUGUAUGUGGAAAAAAGCCUUCAAUGGUAACUAACACAUAGUAGGUCUCAAGGGA
rnacentral:lncRNA from 1 species